UCACAGCACUAUGACCUGUUGGCUGUGACAUUCGCACAACCCGACAACCUUCUUGGACAUUGCUUGCUGGUGGUGUGCAUGACUGAAGACUUGGUACUCAGCUGAGCGUGACAUCACAAAAAGCUGAAUUCAUGGGAUAGGAUUGUGAAGUACUGACACUGCCUAGCAGGAGAUGGAGAGACCACAGACGCUUGACCAGUGGUCAUUUACAACUGACUGGUAACCCCACAGCGGACAUAAUGGCCCUCAGGUAAGUGUGUCCUUAACUAGUAUUUGCUAGGGUUUCAACCCAUUUCUGGCUGUUCUUACCGUAUACAAAGAACAGCCUGUGUGAUAACUGUAAUCUGAUUCUACAUGUGUGGCUUCAUUGGCCAUAUGCUGAUGAGUACACUAACCCUAUCAACAUAUACAUUUGUAUUGUCCAUGGGUUGUCUGGCUGAAGGCAAAUAAACAACUUACAUGCAAUUAAAACCAGAUGUCGAUAUUCAUUUCA